rnacentral:misc_RNA from 1 species
GGAUGAAGAACGCAGCGAAAUGCGAUAAGUAAUGUGAAUUGCAGAAUUCAGUGAAUCAUCGAAUCUUUGAACGCACAUUGCGCCCCUUGGUAUUCCGAGGGGCAUGCCUGUUCGAGCGUCAUUAUAACCCCUCAAGCUCAGCUUGGUAUUGGGGCCUGCCAUCCUGGCAGCCCUUAAAAUCAGUGGCGGUGCCAUCCGGCUCUAAGCGUAGUAACUCCUCUCGCUAUGGAGUCCUGGUGGAUGCUUUGCCAUUAAUCUUUUAACUUCUAUGGUUGACCUCGGAUCAGGUAGGGAUACCCGCUGAACUUAAGCAUAUCAAUAAGCGGAGGA